GCGGCUGUGGCGUAAUUGGUAGCCGCGCCAGACUUAGGAUCUGGUGACGAAAGUCGUGGGGGUUCGAGUCCCUUCAGCCGCA
rnacentral:tRNA from 2 species